AUGUCUGUGUCGUCGGCGGAGAUGGCGGCGGUGAAGACGUCCUCCAACGGGAUGUGGCAGGGCGACGAUCCGCUGCACUUCGCCUUCCCGCUCCUCAUCCUGCAGACGCUGCUCAUCCUGCUCCUGAGCCGCGUGCUCGCCCUGCUCCUCCGCCCGCUCCGCCAGCCCAAGGUGAUCGCCGAGAUCGUCGCCGGCAUCCUGCUCGGCCCCUCCGCGCUCGGCCGCAACAAGGCCUACCUCCGCGCGCUCUUCCCGCCCUGGAGCGCCCCGGUCCUCGAGUCCGUCGCCAGCCUCGGCCUCCUCUUCUUCCUCUUCCUCGUGGGCCUCGAGCUCGACCUCCGCUCCGUCAGGCGCAGCGGCCGCCGCGCCUUCGCCAUCGCCGCGGCCGGGAUCUCCCUCCCGUUCGCCUGCGGGGUCGGGGUCGCCUUCGUCAUCCGCCGCGCCAUCCCGGGGGCCGACGAGGCCGGGUACGCGCCGUUCUUGGUCUUCAUGGGCGUCGCCAUGUCCAUCACCGCGUUCCCGGUCCUGGCACGCAUCCUCGCCGAGCUCAAGCUGCUCACCACGGCCAUCGGGGAGACGGCGCUGGCCGCCGCCGCGUUCAACGACGUGGCGGCAUGGGUGCUGCUGGCCCUGGCCGUGGCCAUCUCGGGCAGCGGCGACGACCGGCGCAGCCCCGUCACGUCCCUCUGGGUGCUCCUCUCUGGUGCCGCGUUCGUCGCCGUGUGGAUGCUGGCCGUGAAGCCGCUUAUGUCGUGGGUGGCGCGACGGUCGGACUCUGGAGGCGGCGGUGGAUCCGCCGUGUGGGUGGCCUUCACGCUUGCGGGGGUCCUGGCGUCCGGGCUGGCCACCGACAUGAUCGGCAUCCACGCCAUCUUCGGCGCCUUCGUGUUCGGGCUGACGGUGCCCAAGGACGGCGGAUUCGCCGGGCGCGUGACGGAGCGCGUGGAGGACCUGGUGUCGGAGCUGCUGCUGCCGCUGUAUUUCGCGUCGAGCGGGCUCAAGACGGACGUGGCCACCAUCCGCGGCGGCGGCGCGCUGGGCAUCCUGGCGCUGAUCAUCGUGACGGCGUGCGCGGGGAAGAUCAUGGGCACGUUCGCGGUGGCCAUGGCGUGCGGGAUGGGCGCCAAGGAGGCCAUCGUGCUGGGCGUGCUCAUGAACACCAAGGGACUCGUCGAGCUCAUCGUCCUCAACAUCGGCAGAGAGCGCAAGGUGCUGAACGAGGAGACGUUCGCGAUCCUGGUGCUCAUGGCGCUGGUCACCACCUUCAUCACCACGCCCACAGUCAUGGCCAUCUACAAGCCGGCGCGCGCCACGGGACGCCGCCGACUGCACCCGCGCAAGCUCCACGGCCCCACCUCCGCGCCGUCCUCCCCGUCCUCCGCUGCUGGUGGCGCCGCCGGCGCCAACGCCAUGGAGCUGCGUGUGCUGGCGUGCAUCCACGGCGGCCACGACGUGCCGGCGCUCAUCAACCUCAUCGAGACCAUCCGGGGCCACACGCAGCCGCGCCGCCUCGUCAAGCUCUACAUCCUCCGCAUGGUCGAGCUCACCGAGCGCACCUCCUCCAUCCUCAUGGCCCGCGCCGCGCGCCGCAACGGCCUCCCGUUCCUCCGCCCCUACCGCCGCGGCGACGAUCAGAUUGACGUCGCCUUCGGCACCUACGCGCAGCUCGGCCACGUGCACGUCCGCCCCAUGACCGCCGUCUCCGCGCUCCACACCAUGCACGACGACGUCGCUGCCGUCGCCGAGGACAAGCGCGUCUCCCUCAUCGUCCUGCCCUUCCACAAGCGCCAGCACGCCGGCCACGGUCACGGCCACGGCGGCGGCGACGAGGUCGAGAACCUCGGGCCUGAGUGGCGCGCCGUGAACCGGAGGAUCCUGCGGGAGGCGCCCUGCUCCGUCGCCGUCCUCGUCGACCGCAGCUUCGGUGGAGGCGAGCAGGUGAGCUCCGAGCAGGUCGCGCACGGCGUAUGCGUCCUGUUCUUUGGCGGGCCCGACGAUCGGGAGGCCCUCGAGCUCGCCGGGAGGAUGGCGGAGCACCCCGGCGUGCAGCUCACCGUGGUGCGCUUCCUCGACGGCAAGGCCGGCAGCGAGGAGCACGCAGAGGUCACGCUGCGCCCGACCGACGCCAGGAACGCCGAGAAGAGCUACACCUUCUCCACCGCCGUCGUCAACGGCCACAAGGAGAAGGAGCUAGACGAGGCGGCGAUGGCCGAGUUCCGGCAGAGGAUGGGCGACGCGGUGCGCUUCGAGGAGCGUGUGGUGGCCGGCAACGUGAUCGAGGAGGUGGUGGCGAUCGGCAAGAGCCGGGAGUACGGGCUGGUGGUGGCCGGCAGGGGGCGCCUGCCGUCGGCGAUGGUGGCGGAGCUGGCCGUCCGCCCGGCAGAGCACCCGGAGCUGGGGCCCAUCGGCGACACGCUCGCGUCGGCAGGGCACGGCGUGGCGUCCUCGGUACUCGUGGUGCAGCAGCACGAUGUGAACGCCGACGAGGUGCCCGUGUCUGUCGUCCAGAUCGACGGGCACGCCCACGACGGCGAGCACGGCAAGGACGACAUGGCCGAGCCGUAG
rnacentral:rRNA from 1 species